CACCACCGGCGGACGGCUCAGUAACACGUCGGUAACCUACCCUCGGGAGGGGGAUAACCCCGGGAAACUGGGGCUAAUUCCCCAUAGGCCUGAGGUACUGGAAGGUCCUCAGGCCGAAAGGGACUUAUGUCCGCCCGAGGAUGGGCCGGCGGCCGAUUAGGUAGUUGGUGGGGUAAUGGCCCACCAAGCCGAAGAUCGGUACGGGCUGUGAGAGCAGGAGCCCGGAGAUGGACACUGAGACACGGGUCCAGGCCCUACGGGGCGCAGCAGGCGCGAAACCUCCGCAAUGCGGGAAACCGCGACGGGGGGACCCCGAGUGCCGUGGCAACGCCACGGCUUUUCCGGAGUGUAAGAAGCUCCGGGAAUAAGGGCUGGGCAAGGCCGGUGGCAGCCGCCGCGGUAAUACCGGCGGCCCGAGUGGUGGCCGCUAUUAUUGGGCCUAAAGCGUCCGUAGCCGGGCCCGUAAGUCCCUGGCGAAAUCCCACGGCUCAACCGUGGGGCUUGCUGGGGAUACUGCGGGUCUUGGGACCGGGAGAGGCGGGGGGUACCCCUGGGGUAGGGGUGAAAUCCUAUAAUCCCAGGGGGACCGCCAGUGGCGAA
rnacentral:rRNA from 1 species